rnacentral:rRNA from 1 species
AGAGUUUGAUCCUGGCUCAGGACGAACGCUGGCGGCGUGCCUAAUACAUGCAAGUCGAGCGGGGCUUGAGGAGGGCUUGCCCUUCGAGAGCCCAGCGGCGGACGGGUGAGUAACACGUGGGUAACCUGCCCGUAAGACCGGGAUAACUCCGGGAAACCGGGGCUAAUACCGGAUAACACCGGGGGCCGCAUGGCUUCCGGUUGAAAGGCGGCCUUUGGCUGCCACUUACGGAUGGGCCCGCGGCGCAUUAGCUAGUUGGCGGGGUAACGGCCCACCAAGGCGACGAUGCGUAGCCGGCCUGAGAGGGUGGACGGCCACACUGGGACUGAGACACGGCCCAGACUCCUACGGGAGGCAGCAGUAGGGAAUCUUCCGCAAUGGGCGAAAGCCUGACGGAGCGACGCCGCGUGAGCGAGGAAGGCCUUCGGGUCGUAAAGCUCUGUUGUCAGGGAAGAAGGCGCGCCGUUCGAACAGGGCGGCGCGGUGACGGUACCUGACGAGGAAGCCCCGGCUAACUACGUGCCAGCAGCCGCGGUAAAACGUAGGGGGC